rnacentral:rRNA from 1 species
UACAGAGGGUGCGAGCGUUAAUCGGAAUUACUGGGCGUAAAGCGUGCGUAGACGGUAGCGUAAGUCGGGUGUGAAAUCCCCGGGCUUAACCUGGGAACUGCGUCGGAUACUGGUUGGCUUGAAUUCGGGAGAGGGAUGCAGAAUUCCAGGUGUAGCGGUGAAAUGCGUAGAUAUCUGGAGGAAUACCGGUGGCGAAGGCGGCAUCCUGGACCGACAUUGACGCUGAACGGCGAAAGCUAGGGGAGCAAACGGG